GCCCUCGUGGCCUAAUGGUAAGGCAUCACACUCCUAAUGUGGGGAUUACGAGUUCGAGUCUCGUCGGGGGUG